AGGACGAACGCUGGCGGCGUGCCUAAUACAUGCAAGUCGAACGGUCUUUCUAUGGAAGCUUGCUUCCACUGAGAAGAUAGUGGCGAACGGGUGAGUAACACGUGGGUAACCUGCCCAUAAGAGGGGGAUAACAUCCGGAAACGGGUGCUAAUACCGCAUAGUUUUCUUGAUCGCAUGAUUGAGAAAGGAAAGACGGCCUUUGUGCUGUCGCUUAUGGAUGGACCCGCGGCGUAUUAGUUAGUUGGUGAGGUAACGGCUCACCAAGACGAUGAUACGUAGCCGACCUGAGAGGGUGAUCGGCCACAUUGGGACUGAGACACGGCCCAAACUCCUACGGGAGGCAGCAGUAGGGAAUCUUCCGCAAUGGACGAAAGUCUGACGGAGCAACGCCGCGUGAGUGAAGAAGGUUUUCGGGAAUCGUAAAACUCUGUUGUCAGAGAAGAACAAGUUGGAGAGUAACUGCUCCAGCCUUGACGGUAUCUGACCAGAAAGCCACGGCUAACUACGUGCCAGCAGCUGC
rnacentral:rRNA from 1 species